AGAAGUUGAGUGGAUAGAACCGCAGUUCGUGCCCUACUGUUUGCAGUUUAAUGUCAAGAAGAUUGAAAUUCUGUAUCACGAUGAUGAUCCAUUGGAACCAGUCAAGUAUUUAUUGAAGAAUUGUGGAGUUUUGGAUAGAAUGAUCUUUAGAUAUGUUGGAGAAUCUUCCAAUGAACUUUGCAAGGAAUUAUUAAUGUUUCCAAGAGGUUCAAAGACUUGUGAGGUUGAAUUUCAUGGAAAGUAUAGGGAUUGAGCGACUUGGUUAUUUUGAAUUGGUGAUUUUGGUCGGGUGAUGCUGUAAAAAUUGCUGGUGAUUUGCAUCAGAACUCUAUUGUAGAUGAUAAAAAUAUGAUUUCUUUUGUAAUGUAAAUGCAUUGUUUACUGUGCCAUUUUUUUUCUUUUUUUUCCCUAAAAAAAUCUUUUUGAAGCUUCUAUUAAUUUUUUUAACGGUUUUGCCUAAAAAGGAUAUAUCAUUUUAUUGAAUAUUUGAGUCUCAUGGCAUGGACUAAAAUUUUCGUCUCACAUUUAGAAAUGAAACCUUCUUUUUUUUUUUUUUCAGUUGAUAAUCUCUAACUACAUUGAAAAUAGCUUACCAAACUAGAGACAGAAGAAAAUCUCUGACGAAACACUUAACAUUGAUAUUUAAAACAUUUUAAGUCAAAAUUGAAAAUCUGUAUCACAGAAAUUUCGACUUAUUUUAAUUUUAUAAAUUUUUGUGUCAAUUAGGCAUGACUAGUAUGAUUUUUUUAGCCAUCCUUUAUUCACGUCUUAUCUUGAAGCUGACUUUUGGAGCAAAUCCGUGCUGCCUCUCUGUGCUUUUGAGGUAAUUCAAUUUAAAUUUAAAUAUUUGCUACUGUAAAAGUUGAAUUCAAUUUAUCUAAUGUCAUACUUCUGCUGUAGAUAAGAAAAUUUUGUAUUUGUAGGUUCGUAGUGUAGGCUUCAUAGAAGAUCAAUCCGCUGAUGCUCUUGAAGUAGAUUUUGCAAACAAAUAUAUUGGGCGUGGUGCUCUUCAUAGGGGCUGUGUGCACGUAAUAUUUUUUGUUAACAAUUUCACUGUGACUUCCUUAGUGGUCCAUACUUAAAUUAGGUCUUUUCCUUCACCUAUUCUUAAAUAUAUUGUUCCAUGUAUUUGUUACUUCUGCAUGAAUGCCUUCUCAUUUAAAUUGCUUUCCUUAUUUCCCUUUGCCUAUGUCAUGUGGAUCAUUAGGGUCUUGAAAUAUCACUCAACAUAAAAUAUUUAAAUCCUAAUUUUAUUUGUUGUCAAUGCCAUUUUAUCUAGGAAGAGAUUCGUUUCAUGAUCAAUCCGGAGUUAAUUGCUGGGAUGCUUUUCUUGGCUUCCAUGGGUGAUAACGAGGCUAUAGAAAUAGUUGGUGCUGAAAGAUUCUGUGAUUACAAGGGGUGAGUCUAAUGCAGUAAAUCAGAAAAUCCAAGACUUGAGUCACUGGGGACAUAGAUACACAAUAGGUUGCUGAAUCUAACUUUAUGUAUUUCUUUUAUGUACAUGCCUUGACUUAUGCUGUGGUUGAUUUCUGAUUAUAAUAUCAUCUUGAAGUUGUGUAGGUAUACUUCGUCAUUUCGUUUUGCGGGUGAUCCUGCAGACAAAAAGCAUUUUGACAGUUUUGGAAGACGUAAAACCAGGAUCAUUGCUAUAGAUGCAUUAUGCUGGCCUGGGAUGAAACAAUAUGCAUUAAAAUACCUUCUUCGGUGUGUAAAAUUUGCUUUGGAGAACCUCGAGAACACUGAGAACUAUUAGAAAAUAAAUGUGUUUGCUUAAUGUAGUUCAAAGGGAUAAUCAUUUUCAAAUCUUCAUCUGGAUUUCUAUGACAUGAAUUUAAUAGGUUGCUGUACUGCUCAUAGUCUUGUCCUAUCACUGAUCUACAAAUAUGGAAUGAUCUUACAAAGAUCAGCCAGUGGCUUUAUUCUAUAUUUUGCGGCCUAGGAUAUAUAUAGUAUAAUAAGGCGUUGUUGUUCCAUGGACUAGUUAAUCAAAAUUAACGUCAUUUUUGGUUGUUUUUUUUUUUUGGGGGGGGGGGGUUAGUGAUUGUCUUCGCUCAACUUGUUUCUCUUGAUAGGGAGACAAAUAAGGCCUUCUGUGGGUUCAUUGAUCAAUAAAAUAUUGCCAGUACAAGGGUUUAUUUCAAGGCAAAGGACUUCAUGAAGCUCAUCUUUAUCCAGAUGAAAAUGACCACAUAUCGAGGAAUCAUCUCGAGGUGCAAAUUGUUUUCUUGAACUUUUUGUCUGGUAAUAUAAUCGUUAAAAUCAUAUAUCAGAAUGUCAAAAAGAUUCUUUCUGAUGCAUUAUUAUUUGAAGCGUUUGUAAUUCUCAGAAGACUAAAUUUUCUUUGUAAUAUAGUUCAAUGAAGCUUCCUUAUUUACUGUUGAAACAAAUCAAGGAGCUUAUGUAAAUCAGCCAGCACUCAAAAAUUCUGAUGGGAAGAGUAUUCAGCAUUGGGAUAGUAAAGAUUUGCCAGGGAUUGCUACUGGGAAUUGGGGAUGUUGUGCUUUCAGGGGUGAUCCUGAACUAAAGACUAUAAUUUAGUGGCUUGCUGCUUCUCAGGUAGUUAUUCUCAUCUGAAUACUGUUAAAAGUUGCUACACAGACGCUCACACACACACAACUUAAUUGCACGAAGCAUAUCUUCUCUCCGGUGGAAAUGUUGUUGGACCAUAAGUAAUUGUGUUGGAAGUUUCUAGCGUGUGAAUGGAGGAUCUCUCAAGGGUUUUAUAUAUUAAUGUGGAGAUAUUGUUAUUAUUUGUUUGAAAUAAAGCAGAGGAACAUCUUCUCUUGUCGCUCAUUUCCUGUUUCUCUUUGAUUUAGGCAUUGCGACCUUUCGUUUUAUACUACACAUUUGGCAUCGAGGCAUUGCAGAACUUAGAUCAGGUACUCGUUCCAAUCCUUCCAUCAUCAGCACUUGUGAAUGUAUUAUCAUUAUGAAUCCUCCACGCUGCAUCUAGGUCUUCCACGUAUUGUUUGCUCCUGUUCUUUCUGAAUCUUGGACACGCAUAUCGCAUCACAUUCUCAUAUGAAUUGAUGAUCUGGUGGUGCAGAUUGCGCAGUGGAUUCUGUCGCAUGAAUGGACGGUCGGGACCUUUGGAGUAUAACGGUGGAGUACUCUUCCCAAAAAUUGAAUGGACGAACCGAUCUUGGCUUCUUUGCUUGGCUCCUCCCAUCCUUAGCUUCCCAUAACUUGUCUAAUACAAAUAAAGAUUGUGUACAUGAAACAUGCAAAUUUUUUAACAGUUACAUAUGUAAAUUAAACAUGUAAAUUGCUGUGCAACGUUAUCAGUAAUUAAAUUUGAGUUUAGAAUUUUGUUUAGAAAAAGACCAUUAUUGUCAUCUUUUCUCAAUAAAAUUUGUAUAUAAAUAAAAGACCGUUAUUGUCAUUUCAAAAAAAAAAAAAAAAAAAAAACCACGCCCGUAUAUAAAAAAAUUAAUGCUCUCCAAGAAUUAUAGAUCAACUAAUGAAGGGAAAAAUCAUCAAUUUAAUUUUUAGUAUUUAAAUUUAUUAAUGUUAACAGAAUUGGAGUGUCAUCAGCGUGUUUAUUUUUUAAUAAAUGUUGAAAUAAAUAUAUCUUAAGUGACAUUAAUUUUAUUUUUUAAUAAUUAUAUUAAAAAAUAAUGUUAAAUUUUCUAAAAUUUAAAAGUUUUAUAUUUAAAAUUCUUUUAAAUAUUUUCUAAAUAUAUUAUAUAAAUUAAACUAAAGAAGUUAGUACAAUAUAAUAUAAUUAAAAAUUAAUACAAUAAAAUAUAGCAUCAAAAGUUAUACAAUAUUAUUAUAAAAUAAUACUAAUUAAAUACAGAAUAAUAUAAUAUAUUUAUAUUAAAAUAAUGUAAUACAACAUAACAUGAUAAGGUGUGUUAAAUGCACCCUUAGUAUAUAGUAUAUGCAAUUGUUGAAAUCGUAUUCACCGUGUUUAAUUUGCAAUUGUAAGGCUGCCCACACCGGAUAACUUACUUAUUAAGACAAAAAAGAAAGGGUAAUUUUUAAAAACCUCUCCUGAGGUUUGGGUUUGUUGCAAGUAGAUGGCGAGAAUUGGUUUAUUUGUAAAAAACCCUCUACCGUCAGCUAAUUUUAACAUUGACCAUUAGUUGACCGUGCAAAGACAAUAUUACCCUUAACAAUAGUUUAUAAACGAAAAUAACUAAAAAAAAACUAAAAUUAUUGGCGCGAAAAGCACAAACCCUAUUUUUUAACAAUUUUAUCCUUGUCAAUUCCAAAAAUUUACAAUAUCAUAGGUAAAGAUUAUGACUAUUUCAUUUUUAAAUUUUUAAUUUUAUCUUUCUUGUAGGAAUUUUAAGAAAAUAUCAAUAAUUUAAAGAGGAUUUUUUAAUUUUUUAAUUUUAUCUUUUUUAUAGGAACUUUAAGAAAAUAUCAAUAAUUUAAAGAUGGUAAAAUAACUAAUAAUUUUAGUUUUUUUUUAGUUAUUUUCGUUUAUAAACUAUUGUUAAGGGUAAUAUUGUCUUUGCACGGUCAACUAACGGUCAAUGUUAAAAUUAACUAACGGUAGGGGGUUUUUUACAAAUAAAUCAAUUCUCGCCAUCUACUUGCAACAAGUCCAAACCUCAAGAGAGGUUUUUAAAAAUUACCCAAAAAAGAAAUCUAUAAAAAGAAUUAAUAGUAAUUAGUAGGGUCCGGCUACGGUGCAACGGUGAUACGGUAUCACCGUUGCAUCCAGCCGUUGGAUCUACGUGGAUGAAUGAAUCCAGUGGGAUCCAACGGUGAUACCGUAUCACCGUUGCACCGUAGCUUUCUCCUAAUUAGGGGUCCGGCUACAGUGCAACGGUAUCACCGUUGCAUCCAGCCGUUGGAUCCACGUGAAUGAAUGGAUCCAGUGGGAUCCAACGGCUAUGGUGCAACGGUGAUACCGUAUCACCGUUGGAUCCACGUGGAUGAAUGGAUCCAAUGGGAUCCAACGGCUGGGUGCAACGAUGCACUGUAGCUUUCUCCUAAUUAGGGGUCCGGCUACGGUGCAACGGUGAUACCGUAUCACCGUUGCAUCCAGCCGUUGGAUUCACGUGGAUGAAUGGAUCCAGUGGGAUGCAACGGUGAUACCGUAUCACCGUUGCGCCGUAGCUUUCUCCUAAUUAGGGGUCCGGCUACGGUGCAACGGUGAUACGAUAUCACCGUUGCAUCCAGCCGUUGGAUCCCACGUGGAUGAAUAGAUCCACUAAAUGUAAACGGUAAACCCCUCCCUAAAAUUUCUGGAAAAAGGAAAAAAAUCAAAUUGAAGGAAAUUUUGAAACCCGUCGCAGCCAGAGACCGGCUCGUCGUCGCCUGCGGCCUAGCCUUCCGUGAAAAUAGAGUAAGUAAUCUUUUUUCUCUCCUUCUACUCUCCACCGGCACCAUAUUCAUAAAUGGAUACUGGCAAAAUAACUUUUAAUUUUUUAUUUAGCUUUUAGCAUACUUGAGUAUUAUCUUUACUUUGAACAACAGUGAUGGAUAGAAUAAAAUUUUAAUUGAUUUAUUAUUAUAUGGGAUGGAAGAGUUUAAAUCGUAGGAUCCCACGUUGUGUAUUCUCAAUUGUUGUUAAGCUCUGCAGCUUUCUUAACUAUCAAUAUGAGUUUCACGAAAGACCCAUUAUUAAUCUAACUGAAAAAUGCUUCCUUUUCGGCUUUAACACUGUGUUUAUUACAUCUUUCAGGUUGGUUGAUAACUUUCACGAUGAAUAACUCAAAAUCACGUAAAGUUGGUAAGAUAAAUAAAAAAGAUAGGAUAAGUUGUAUGCCGGAUUCGAUCCUUUGCCAUAUUCUUUCAUUUCUGUCCACAGAAGAUGCUGUUCGAACUAGCAUUUUAUCUUCAAGAUGGAAGCUUGUUUGGGCUUCUCUUCCCAAUCUUAUGUUCAAUGACAAGUUAUGCUACAGACGUGAUGGUACUUCAGAUAAUGGUGCGUUGACGAGGUUUGAGAAUUUUGUCGACAGGAUGCUUCUGUCCAACUCAGUAAGCAUUAGCAAGUUUUCCCUUCAUUGUCAGAAGAAGCCCAGGUAUUUGUCUCGUCUGAAAUUCUGGGUUGCACUUGCAAUUAUGCGAAAUGUUCAUGAGAUCGAAGUUAAUCUUCCGGUUGACGAUCCAUUUGAAGAGGGUUACGAGCCUGUUGAGCUACCUGACUGCAUCUACAAUUCUGAAACACUUGAAAUUUUGAAACUAGAAACAGAUUUUGUAUUCAAGAGUCCUUCCUCUGGGAUAUGUUUUCCAAGGGUCAAGAAAUUUCAUGUUGAAAUAUAUAAGCCCAACAUGCCUGACUUUUCUAUUUGUCCUGUACUUGAAGAUUUGUCAAUUGACUACUCGCUAAAUUUUGAUUGGGACGCCGAUAUUAGCAUUUCGUCUCAAACUCUAAAGAGGUUAAACUUGAUGAUAGGGGGACCUAUUGUCUUUGCUAAUGAGCACCAGGCUACGAUUGAGGCUCCAAAACUUGAACACCUCCAUGUUAAUGAUGGCACAUUGGUAUCUUAUCUGGUCUAUGAGUUACAUUCAUUAUGUGAUGCACGCCUUGAUAUUGACUAUUCGCGUGUGCGUAGUGAUCCGGUUCGAGCUGAUCAUGCACUACAGCUUCUCAAAAAGCUCACGAAUCUUAAGUCUUUGUACUUAUCUUGUGGCACCAUAUACGUAUGUUCUCUGUCUGCUUUAUGUUGUGCAUAUUUUAAACUUUAAUACUCUUCUUACUUCCUCUACUUUUUGUUUUUACUCUGAUUAUGUUACUUAUUUUUCUGGUCGUGUGUAUUAAAAGUUAUUUUGAAACUCAUUGAUGAAACAGUUUCAAUUCCUCAAGUUAGUAGCUGCUAGAAUUUUUAAUUAUUGUCUUUUUCUCAAUGAAAGGCUCUUGGUGAAGCGUAUCGGCAUUUAUAUGAUGCUCAUCAAUAUUUCCUUCCCACAUUUUCCAACUUGUCUUUUUUGGAGGUGAGGAUUCGAGAAUAUGGGUGGUGGAUUCUUCCGAUCAUCUUCAAUUGUUCGCCUAACUUGGAAUCUUUCGUCUUGAUAAUGGUGAGGAUUUGAUGAACUUUUGAAUAAAGGAUAUUUAAGUUGUUUUUAUAUUUAUUUUCUUUAUAAUCAGGACGUAAAUGGCCCUGAAUACUACGUGGAAGCUGGGUGGAUAGAACCACAGUUCGUGCCCUAUUGUUUGCAGUUUAAUGUCAAGAAGAUUGAAAUUCUGUAUGGGGAGGAUUUGAUGAACUUUUGAAUAAAGGAUAUUUAAGUUGUUUUUAUAUUUAUUUUCUUUAUAAUCAGGACGUAAAUGGCCCUGAAUACUACGUGGAAGCUGGGUGGAUAGAACCACAGUUCGUGCCCUAUUGUUUGCAGUUUAAUGUCAAGAAGAUUGAAAUUCUGUAUGGGGAUGAUGAUCCAUUAGAACCAGUAAAGUAUUUAUUGAAGAAUUGUGGAGUUUUGGAUAAAAUGAUCUUUAGAUAUGUUGGAGAAUCUUCCAAUGAACUUUGCAAGGAAUUGUUAAUGUUUCCAAGAGGCUCAAAGACU
rnacentral:lncRNA from 1 species